rnacentral:rRNA from 1 species
UUGAACGCUGGCGGCAGGCCUAACACAUGCCCGUCGAGCGGAUGAAGGGAGCUUGCUCCUGGAUUCAGCGGCGGACGGGUGAGUAAUGCCUAGGAAUCUGCCUGGUAGUGGGGGAUAACGUCCGGAAACGGGCGCUAAUACCGCAUACGUCCUGAGGGAGAAAGUGGGGGAUCUUCGGGCCUCACGCUAUCAGAUGAGCCUAGGUCGGAUUAGCUAGUUGGUGGGGUAAAGGCCUACCAAGGCGACGAUCCGUAACUGGUCUGAGAGGAUGAUCAGUCACACUGGAACUGAGACACGGUCCAGACUCCUACGGGAGGCAGCAGUGGGGAAUAUUGGACAAUGGGCGAAAGCCUGAUCCAGCCAUGCCGCGUGUGUGAAGAAGGUCUUCGGAUUGUAAAGCACUUUAAGUUGGGAGGAAGGGCAGUAAGUUAAUACCUUGCUGUUUUGACGUUACCAACAGAAUAAGCACCGGCUAACUUCGUG